CCCAGCAAUGGGCAACCGGCGAACGGGUGCGUAACACGUGAGCAACCUACCCAGGUGUGGGGGAUAGCCGUCCCAACGGACGGGUAAUACCGCAUACGCUCUUCUUUAGGCAUAUAGAGGAGAGGAAACCUUCGGGGCACCAUGAGGGGCUCGCGGCCUAUCAGCUAGUUGGCGAGGUAACGGCUCACCAAGGCUACGACGGGUAGCUGGUCUGAGAGGAUGGCCAGCCACAUUGGGACUGAGAAACGGCCCAGACUCCUACGGGAGGCAGCAGUGGGGAAUCUUGCGCAAUGGCCUAACGGCUGACGCAGCGACGCCGCGUGAGGGAUGACGCUCUUCGGAGUGUAAACCUCUUUUGCCUGGAACGAACUACGAGCAUUCGCUCGUUUGACGGUACCGGGUGAAUAAGCACCGGCUAACUCCGUGCCAGCAGCCGCGGUAAUACGGGGGGUGCGAGCGUUGUCCGGAAUCACUGGGCGUAAAGGGCGCGUAGGUGGCGUGAUAAGGGUGUGGUGAAAGCCCGGGGCUCAACCCCGGGUCGGCCAUGCCGACUGUCAGGCUAGAGUGCUGUAGGGGCAGGCGGAAUUCCGGGUGUAGCGGUGGAAUGCGUAGAGAUCCGGAGGAAGACCGGUGGCGAAGGCGGCCUGCUGGGCAGUUACUGACACUGAGGCGCGACAGCGUGGGGAGCAAACAGGAUUAGAUACCCUGGUAGUCCACGCCGUAAACGAUGGGUACUAGGUGCCCUGGGGGGAGCG
rnacentral:rRNA from 1 species